UACGUAGGAGGCAAGCGUUGUCCGGAAUUACUGGGCGUAAAGCGCGUGUAGGUGGUGGGACAAGUCUGCUGUGAAAGCGCCUGGCUUAACCGGGCGAGGUCGGCGGAAACUGUUCGACUCGAGGACGGUAGAGGGGGGUGGAAUUCCCGGUGUAGUGGUGAAAUGCGUAGAGAUCGGGAGGAACACCUGUGGCGAAGGCGGCCCCCUGGGACGUUACUGACACUGAGGCGCGAAAGCGUGGGGAGCGAACAGG
rnacentral:rRNA from 1 species